UACGUAGGGCGCGAGCGUUGUCCGGAAUCAUUGGGCGUAAAGAGCUCGUAGGCGGCCGGUUGCGUCUGCUGUGAAAUCCCGGGGCUUAACCCCGGGCGUGCAGUGGAUACGGGCUGGCUGGAGGCAGGCAGGGGAGAAUGGAAUUCCCGGUGUAGCGGUGAAAUGCGCAGAUAUCGGGAGGAACACCGGUGGCGAAGGCGGUUCUCUGGGACGGUACUGACGCUGAGAAGCGAAAGCAUGGGGAGCGAACAGG
rnacentral:rRNA from 1 species